UACGUAGGGUGCGAGCGUUGUCCGGAAUUACUGGGCGUAAAGAGCUCGUAGGCGGUUUGUCGCGUCGUCUGUGAAAACCAGCAGCUCAACUGCUGGCUUGCAGGCGAUACGGGCAGACUUGAGUACUGCAGGGGAGACUGGAAUUCCUGGUGUAGCGGUGAAAUGCGCAGAUAUCAGGAGGAACACCGGUGGCGAAGGCGGGUUGCUGGGCUGACACUGACGCUGAGGCGCGAAAGCCAGGGGAGCGAACGGG
rnacentral:rRNA from 1 species